rnacentral:ncRNA from 1 species
GGCACCUCGAUGUCGGCUCGUCGCAUCCUGGGGCUGGAGCAGGUCCCAAGGUUGGGCUGUUCGCCCAUUAAAGCGGUACGCGAGCUGGGUUUUAGAACGUCGUGAGACAGUUCGGUCCCUAUCCUCUGCGCGCGUUGGAAAACUUGAGAAGGGCUGUCCCUAGUACGAGAGGACCGGGACGGACGAACCUCUGGUGUGCCAGUUAUCCUGCCAGGGGUAUGGCUGGUUUGCUACGUUCGGGAUGGGUAACCGCUGAAAGCAUCUAAGCGGGAAACUAGCUUCGAGAUUAGGUUUCCGUCCCUGUUUUUUGGGGGGAGGUUCCCGGUAGAUUACCGGGUUGAUAGGCUAGGAGUGUAGACAUUGUAAGGUGACCAGCUUACUAGUACUAAUUGACCGAUUACUAACAAUAA